AUUUCAGGGGAGGAAUCUAUUAGAUAAUAAUAUAGUAAUAUUCAUAAUUUUUGGAUUUUAAACAUCAGCGUUACUGAGAUACAUUGCACCCCACAUUUGAUUUAUUAUAUAAGCUUGAUACCUGGUGAGAAGCUUGGCUGUAGCAAUCAGCAUUUAGCCAGCAGAACUGCACUGUAAGAGAUGAUCCUUUUCACUGCAGCUGGUUAAUUUUGGUACUGAUGAUAACAUUUUGCGUAAUGCAUAUGGUUUUAACCCUUAGUGGACAUAGCAUUGGUCCCUAUUAGGCAUGAUUAUAGCCUAUUUUUAUGUGGCCCAUAGCAGAGGUUGCUUUUCUUACCAGCAACGUAAUAUUACCCCCCAAAAUGUUUGAGUGAGCAGAUUCCAAGCAUAGGCUUAAUAUUCAUAGUGAUGUCAGAGUUUUCAGAUGUCCAAUAAAAAAUAAAUAAAUAAAUGAAGGCACUGUAGUACUCAUUUGGAAUAGAACAAGCUGUAAAAAAAAAAUUCAUUAUUUUGCUAUCAUUUAAUACACAUAGUGCAGCAUGGAUUUGCCUAACUUAUAAGUAAGCCAAAUAGUGCCAAAGAAUUGAUCAGUAAUAAAGAUUGACUUUUUAAAUUAAAUCUCAAUUGCUUUGAUAACAAGCAAUUAAAACAAUCAUUUUCUAAGAUCAUUCUAAUUCUCUGAAUAAUUCUAAGAUUUAGUUCUUGAAAUCUGAUAGUUUAAUUUCAAAAAACAAAGAAUAGAAGUCCCUUACAUAAUAGGUAUGUAUCUGCAUUUGUAUAUCUGUCAAUAUUUUGAAUUUUUGAAGUGCAACCUAUCCACUCAGUAUAUUCCAAAAAACCUACAGAGAAUCACAGAAUCACAGGGGUUGGAAUGGACCUCAGGAGAUCAAGUCCAACCCGCUGCUAAAGCAGGUUCCCUACUGCAGGUUGCACAGGUAGGCAUCUAGACAGGGCUUGAAUAUCUCCUGCACGUUCGCUAAGCUCAUGGCAACAAAAUGCCAUAAAUAUAAGGUCUAACAUCAUGUAAUAUAACUUAUGUACUAGCACUAGGUCAGAUUUCCACAGGCAAUUGAAAGUACUUACAGUUUACAGGAAAAGAAACACAGAACUUGGCGCUAUUGAAAGUGUGUUGACUCAGCACCACUUCUGGGGGGAUGGGGUUAAUCUUUGGCUGUGAGCUCUGUGCCAUUCAUUGAAGACAACCACCAGCUCACAUUAUAAACCACGUAAGAUCUUAGAGACAACGUAUGGAAAGUAACAGCAUGAAACCUCAAAGUUUUCACACUUGACACUUAAGUGAUAGCUUUUCUCCUUUUUACUCCCUGUCUGCAGAACACAGAGAAGUAAUCUGAUAGUUUAGAAAUCUGUAAAAAAUAGAGGAGGUAAAUCAAGCUAGGGAAGCAGCAUGGUAAAGGCAUGAAGCAAGGCUGAGGAGAUUCACAGAUUAGGGCCGAGGCUAUUGUUUGUUGACACAAUAGAAGGAACAAGUUCGGAAGGUGUGUGGACGCCUGCCACAUGCGGCCUCUUCCACUCAGCAGGACAGGGCUUCAGCGUCAGCCUGGUGACAGGAGGCUGAGGAGAGGGGCCUCCGUCUCCGGCUCUCAUCCUUCUCUAGGACAGCAGUGCUACUCCAUACCAGGGGCUGGUCUGGAGAUGUGGUUUUCUGCAGUCACCUCUUCCAAGUCCAUGCUCUUCUGAGGGCUCACAAUGCUGGAUUUUUUGGUCUCGUUACAUCUCAAGACAGAAUUAUUAAAUUAGAUUAAGCAGUUUGCAUUGUAUUGUAUUCAGUACUAUUUUCUAGUUGUGGGAAUGCUCUCUCAUACUUCCCUUGAAAGCAUUGUUACACCUUUGAUUUGUGUCAGGAGAAAGCAGAAAGUCCCAGCCCUGGUGGCCCAGGCUGAUGGCAAGCCCCAGGCUACUGCACACCUCACGUGCUCAUUGCUGGCAGCCACAGGGAUCACUGGCCUGAUCCUCCUGGUACCACGAUAUCUUUCCCUACCUCCUCAUAGCUCUCCUCUCAACCUGUGCCAGCUUGCCGUUGUUCCUCUUGAAUGGAGGUGACUACAAUUAAUAGUAGAAUAUGAGGAAUACCCUACUUGACAUUUACUGGGCUGUUUUGUUUUGCUUUGUUUUGUUUCAUAGAAUCACAGAAUAUCCUAAGUUGGAAGGGGUCCACAAGGAUCAAAUCCAACUUCCAGCCCCAUACAGACCACCCAAAAUUCAAACCCUAUGUCUGAGAACAUUGUCCAAAUGCUUCUUGUACUCAGGCUGCUUGGGGCCACGGCCACUGCCCUGAGCAGCCUCUUCCAUGCCCACCACCCUCUGGUGCAGAACUUUUUCCAUAUGUCCAGGCUUUGUUCUCAUGGUGUGGCACUCUGAUAGCUCGUGGUCAUUUUAAGGUCAAAUUUAUCCUGAAAUCAAUCUUUCUAAUGAUGACUGUGUGGCAGUAUGUUCAUGCAGAGGAGCUGCAUCUGAGAUGCAGUGACAACUCAUGUUUAGAUAUCUGCUAUCUUAUCAUUGGCUUUAGCGGCCUGAAUAAUUUUAAAAGGAAUGACAUCAUAGAAAACAUUUAUGUGAUGUACUGUGCUUUACAGAUGUAAUCCUUGAAUCUUUCUGAACAUACAGAUGUCCACUGCCAAACACUGUAAGUGGUGGUGUGGAACAGAAACAUUUCAGUGGCACAGGGAAGUUCUCACCCAGCUCAGUGUCAUUUACAUGUUCAGAUAGAGCAUCCUGAAGUACGUUCUUCCAAUCUGUCUUCCUUGUACGCAGAGUGUUACACUGGUUUGUGUUUCUGGUAAAUGUUUUGCAGGGGUAACCUAUUAAUAGCUGAUUUCCCUACAUGAGCAGGCAGCACCCUAAGCUGUUUAAAGGUUAAGAACAGAUUUGCAAAUGGAAAUUUAUAGUGGUUAUUUUUGUUGAAAUAAAGUGUACUCAAUUAGUGUCCAUGUAAAAGAGCAGCAUUAAAGAAUACAAUAGUCAUCAUGUAUCUAAUGAUCCUUUAUUAGCAGAUUAUGAUCCUAUCUUUAUUACUGUUAGUAAUUGUGCUGACAAUGUGGCUGACAGGUUAAGCCAUUUCUUAUUACAGUAGCUUUUGUGCCAUAGCAUCGGGAUCAGAAAUGCAGUUCCUGAAGAUUUGCCUGUUAUGAAGAAUAGGCUGCAAAGAAAUGGAAGCACAUCUAGCCAUUGUGUUUAGUGACACAGGUGACAGAUUGCUGUAGCUGAUUCUGAGCAGGAAGAGCUCUCACAUAGGUAGACUUCAAGUGUUUCAGGCUUGGUACAUAUUUACAUAUUGUGUAUGAGAAUUAGGACUAGGACAGGAUUGUUCUGAGUUGUUAAACACUUCAGUGCGGUGUAUGAACAGCUGUAUUAGCUGUGAUUGCUGGAUUACACCACUUCACUUUUGCAUCUGUACUAUAGCAAGUCUCAGAUUCCACAGUAACUUACUUAGUAUUUAUAAGGGACCGGUUCCAAAAUCGUUGUGAGUUCUCCAGACUUUCCAACAUUUUCCCCUCCUCCAUCAUGCACACACCAAUAUUUCUCAUCACCUUUCAUCCCAAAUAAAUUGAUCCUGAUCUGCUCCUGUGAGAUUUCAUCCACGCUUCCGAUCUUCAGGAUAAAGUAAACAAAUAUAUGCUCCAAAGAAUCUAACCCGUGCUACACAAACAGCCCAGUGCAUGUUGGAAGAAAGCUUUAGCUUUUUAGUAAAAAUAGAUCAGUAAAACUAUAUGGGUUUAUAUGUCAUUAAGGCAUUCUGUAAGGGUUCCAUCAGGAUACCUUUGUAAUUUCAGGACUAGCAGGGAAUAGGACAAGUGAAUAAAGGAACAGCAGAAUAAGAAAAUAGAUAAAGUAGGACUCUCACAGGAAAUGGUCACAUAUCUAUUAUUUCAGCUGUCCUAAGAAAGUAAUGUCUGGAAAGCACAGAAGUUAAAUUCUAGUAUAAACCUGGUUUUAGAAAGGACUGCUUGGGCCAACGAGUCAUGUCCCUUCAAUUACAAACAAAGAUGUGGUAGCUAUUUAAUCCAAGAGAUGAUCUGCUUUACACACACGUACCACAAAAAAUACCUCUAACAGUCCUAAGAUCUAUACCACAAAAGGCCAAGCUGAGCAUGACACAGCAAGUACGUGUUACAAGCAGUGUAUGGGGUAAGACAAGAUAGAUGAAUGAGGACAAAAACACUGUGUAUUUAUUCAGUGAGUGCCAUGUUUCAUCUGGGUUUACCAGUCCAGAUUCAUGCAGUGAAGCACAAGUUGUAUUCCUGCAAUAAAGGUUGUUGAUGCAGAUCAGGGUAUGAGGCUACCCACAGCCUGGCAACGUUAUUUCCUGAAGCCAUUUUUUACCAAUUACUCGUGUGCAGUAACAUGUAGGGAUCCUUAAGCAGGGUUAGAACAUGGACUUACUUGCUUUGAACUUAGCAGUGCUUCUGGGUCUUGCAGAUGCAUUAAUGUGCACUCACAAAAAAAUAGUUGCCCAAUUCUUUGAUUCAUGUAAACAGACCUGUAUGAGAGGAUUGCCUUAAUUUGUAAAGAUUUUCUGUUGGGGGACACUGUUGACCGUUACAGCAUCCAGAAGAAUUACUGCAUAACAUUGAAUUUGGGCAUCAAUAACGUAACUAUGUAGAGACUUUUUUUAAUAAAAAUAUAAUAUCCCAGCCAUUUGCUGGGAUUGCUAAAACUUAAUUUCUCAGGCAGAAGAGCUAAAACCCAAAAAGCUGAAGUGUAUCUCUGUAUUUACAUCAAAAUGGGAGGUGAUACGAGCACACACAACUUAAAGAUCGGAUGUGAUUGUGGUGAAUGUGGUGACACCUAGCUUAGCAGAACGUGGCCUAAUAGAUGGAGGUGGUGUCAGAACAUGCUGUGACCGUCAGAGUUCUGCAGACACGUGUGAGUUAAAGGUGAGGCUAAGGCAUGUCUUGCAUAUGUUCAGUGUCUUAACAGGUAUUUUUUCCCUAGUUUUUCACUCCUGGUCAAAUAGGGAGAUCAUGAUAGUCAACCUGAGCAUUUACUAUGACAUUCAGAAUUCUUUAUCGUAUACAAAAUUCAUUAUAAACGGAAGAUAAAUGAUUCAGCUUCACUGUUACAGCUGUGCAAGGUGUUGGUCAGCACACUGCAGAGAAUCCAG
rnacentral:lncRNA from 1 species